ensembl:snRNA
GUGUUGUAUGAAAGGAGAGAAGGUUAGCAUUCUCCUUGACAAGGAUGAAGAGGCCCUUGGGCCUGACAACAUGCAUAUGGUUAAGGCAUUGCCACCUACUUUGUGGCAUCUAACUAUCGUUUUAG